rnacentral:rRNA from 1 species
AACGAACGCUGGCGGCAGGCUUAACACAUGCAAGUCGAACGGGUGUAGCAAUACAUCAGUGGCAGACGGGUGAGUAACACGUGGGAACCUUCCUCGUUGUACGGGACAACUCAGGGAAACUUGAGCUAAUACCGUAUACGUCCGAGAGGAGAAAGAUUUAUCGCAAUGAGACGGGCCCGCGUCGGAUUAGCUAGUUGGUAGGAUAACGGCCUACCAAGGCGACGAUCCGUAGCUGAUCUGAGAGGAUGAUCAGCAACACUGGGACUGAGACACGGCCCAGACGCCUACGGGAGGCAGCAGUGGGGAAUCUUGGACAAUGGGCGCAAGCCUGAUCCAGCCAUGCCGCGUGAGUGAAGAAGGCCUUAGGGUUGUAAAGCUCUUUCGGCGGGGAAGAUAAUGACGGUACCCGCAGAAGAAGCCCCGGCUAACUCUGUGCCAGCCGCCGCGGUAAAAC